UAACGCGAAGAACCUUACCAGGGCUUGACAUCUGAGGAAUAUUUAUGAAAGUAGAUAGUGCACUUCGGAGAGCCUCAAGACAGGUGGUGCACGGUUGUCGUCAGCUCGUGUCGUGAGAUGUUGGGUUAAGUCCCGCAACGAGCGCAACCCUCGUCGUUAGUUGGAUAAUUCGGUAUACUGGAUUAUUCCUCUCUAGCGAGACUGCCGGUGAUAAACCGGAGGAAGGUGGGGACGACGUCAAAUCAUCAUGCCCCUUAUGCUCUGGGCUACACACGUGUUACAAUGGCCGGUACAACGAGCCGCCAACUCGCGAGAGUGAGCAAAUCUCUUAAAACCGGUCUCAGUUUGGAUUGCACUCUGCAACUCGAGUGCAUGAAGUCGGAAUCGCAAGUAAACGCAGAUCAGCACGCUGCGUUGAAUACGUUCCCGGGUCUUGUACACACCGA
rnacentral:rRNA from 1 species